UUAAAUUGAAGAGUUUGAUCAUGGCUCAGAUUGAACGCUGGCGGCAGGCCUAACACAUGCAAGUCGAACGGUAACAGGAAACAGCUUACUGUUU
rnacentral:rRNA from 1 species